rnacentral:rRNA from 1 species
AUUGAACGCUGGCGGCAGGCCUAACACAUGCAAGUCGAGCGGAUGAAGGGAGCUUGCUCCUGGAUUCAGCGGCGGACGGGUGAGUAAUGCCCAGGAAUCUGCCUGGUAGUGGGGGGUAACGUCCGGAAACGGGCGCUAAUACCGCAUACGUCCUGAGGGAGAAAGUGGGGGAUCUUCGGACCUCACGCUAUCAGAUGAGCCUAGGUCGGAUUAGCUAGUUGGUGGGGUAAAGGCCUACCAAGGCGACGAUCCGUAACUGGUCUGAGAGGAUGAUCAGUCACACUGGAACUGAGACACGGUCCAGACUCCUACGGGAGGCAGCAGUGGGGAAUAUUGGACAAAGGGCGAAAGCCUGAUCCAGCCAUGCCGCGUGUGUGAAGAAGGUCUUCGGAUUGUAAAGCACUUUAAGUUGGGAGGAAGGGCAGUAAGUUAAUACCUUGCUGUUUUGACGUUACCAACAGAAUAAGCACCGGCUAACUUCGUG